rnacentral:rRNA from 1 species
GAUGAACGCUAGCGGCAGGCCUAAUACAUGCAAGUCGAACGGUGUCUUCGGACGUAGUGGCGCACGGGUGCGUAACACGUAUGCAACCUACCUUACAUUGGGGGAUAGCCUUUCGAAAGGGAGAUUAAUACCGCAUAAGACAGUAACUAGGCAUCUAGUAGCUGUUAAAGGUUCAUCGAGGUAAGCUGGGUAUGCGUCCAAUUAGCUAGUUCGUGGUGUAACGGCUCACCAAUGCAAUGAUUGGUAGGGGAACUGAGAGGUCAAUCCCCCACACGGGCACUGAGAUACGGGCCAGACUCCUACGGGAGGCAGCAGUAGGGAAUAUUGGGCAAUGGACGCAAGUCUGACCCAGCCAUGCCGCGUGCAGGAUGAAGGCGUUAUGCGUUGUAAACUGCUUUUAUACAGGAAGAAACGACUCUUGCGAGAGGCAUUGACGGUACUGUAUGAAUAAGCACCGGCUAACUCCGUGCCAGCCGCCGCAGUAAGAC